GGGCCCGCACAAGCAGCGGAGCGUGUGGUUUAAUUCGAGGCUACACGAAGAACCUUACCCGGGUUUGACAUACAAGUAGUAGUGAAGCGAAAGCGGAACGACCUUCGGGAGCUUGAACAGGUGCUGCAUGGCUGUCGUCAGCUCGUGCCGUGAGGUGUUCGGUUAAGUCCGCAAACGAGCGCAACCCUCGGCGUUAGUUACAAGUGUCUAACGCAACUGCCCGUGAGAAACGGGAGGAAGGUGGGGAUGACGUCAAGUCAGCAUGGCCUUUAUAUCCGGGGCUACACACACGCUACAAUGGGCGGUACAACGGGUCGCGAAGCCGCGAGGUGGAGCCAAUCCAGAAAGCCGUUCGUAGUUCGGAUUGCAGGCUGCAACUCGCCUGCAUGAAGUCGGAGUUGCUAGUAACCGCAGGUCAGCUAUACUGCGGUGAAUACGUUCCCGGGCCUU
rnacentral:rRNA from 1 species